UUCCUUUAUUGUUACUAUUGUAAUUUUCAUCGUCGGUAUCGUCAUCACCGUCAUCAUCACCAUCAUCAUCAUCAUCUUCACCAGCAUCACGGUGAUAAACACGGAACGUAAAGACGGGGACCCCAAACAUAAUAUACUCACCAUCACGCAAAGCAGCCAGAUAGAAGAUAAGAGGUGUUGUUAGGGAGAGCAAGAAAGAAAGAAAAAAAAAAGAGAAUCGGAGACCUAACGAUCAACCUGGGACUUGGAUCUUUAUUAACCCUCGGUAGCAUUGACCCGGAAGUCACACCAAAGCCUCGUUUUCAGUGCGGAUGUGAGGCGGAUGAAGUGAGGGAGACAGAUAAAAACAGAAACAGGGAACGACAUAAAGUGAUAUAGAAAUAGAAGACAUGGACUAUGAAAGAGAAAGGAGUUAGAAAGUAAUGUGAGAGAGGCGGAAGCUGUUGCACGGCAGCACUACAGUAGCGCACCACCACCGUUACACUGGGUUAACUCCAUCCGACCAACGCAAGCCAUACAUACACACAAUAUAUAUAUAUAUAUAUUUCCGUCCACCCCAAUUUAGCUGCGGAAUUUUUUUUUUUCUAGAAACAAAAUUAAUAAUAAUAAUUUUUGAUGGAAGAAUCGAGCAGCAGUGAACCGCCUAGAUGCCCUUGUGGAUUUUGGGGGUCUCCCAAAACCCUUGGGCUCUGCUCAAAGUGUUACAAGGAGCACUUAGAAAAAAACAGAAGCAGAGCCUUACAGUCAGCUAAUUCAGUCAUGUCCAAAGAGACUGACCAAGUAAAAAACACUUCUCCAUCCUCUUCAUCACACAAAAUCUCAGAUGCCACAUUAGAAAAUUCUCAACUACAGGACCGACGAGGAGUAGCUGUAUCUCAUAUCGGUACUGGAUCUGAUUCUAGCUUUAACAGUAACCAAGUUGUAGACACUACUUGUGAUGAUAGGUUAGAUGUGUCACAUUCAAAUGCUGCUUCAAGCAGUGGGACUGGUGAAACCAGUGUAAUUUUUCCAGAGCCUAUGGCACAGCAAAGGCCAGGUAAAAUCUUCUCUAAUUCUGUAACUAAAUGUGCUAACAAUGGGACACCCUUGUCAGAGACAUCAUUGAAUAACAGUGACAUUUGCAAUAAGAGUGCUAUAAUGGUAAUGAGUGACGAAAGUCACUCGACACUCAGGGAUAAGAACUCUUUGGGAAAAGACAUACUAAAUGAAUCAGCUGUUCCAGUUUCAAGCACAGCUUCGACAUCAUGCCGGGAGGAAAGUACUCAGUGCUCACCUGGAAACCUUAGUAACCAGCCUGUACCAACAUCAUGUCAGCAGCAACAACAGUCAACACCUGAAAAGAGUCAAGAAGAACAGAAAGGUGUAAAGAGAACCAUUGAUGAAAUGGAAGACAAACCAAUACAGAAGAACAAGAAAAGAUGUUAUCAAUGUAAAUGCAAAUUAGAAUUAGCACAACGUCAAAUUGGUCAGUGCCGCUGUGAUUAUGUCUUCUGUGCAGCACAUCGACUGCCAGAGCAGCACAACUGUAUUUUUGAUCACAAAGAAGAUGGCCGUCGAGAAGCUAGAGAAAAAAUGAUAAAGCCUGUUCGACAUUUAGGAACCUCAUUCAGAAGACUUGAUUCUGAUUCAUGAGACUAUUCCUAACCUUAUGCACUUUUCAGAUUUCAAUUUCAAUGAAAUUGGAAACAAAACAAAAAAAAAGAUUAUUACCAUUGAUUUUGAAGAGACUGCUUCAUUCUUUAAAAUAAAAUAAUAAACAAAGCAAAAAAUAUAAAAUAUUAAAUAAAAUUAACUAUGCUGCUCAAUUCUUUCAAAUUAAGAAUUGCCAAAAUAAUGAUGAUGGUAAUGCUGGUGUUUAUACUAUUAACUUCUGGGCUCUAACCAAAACUUCCCAUCAAUUUUGAUAUGGAUUACAUACAACUGUUUAUUCUAUAAUGGUUAUUUGCUUACAGAGCAGGGAGGAAGGCAGUGUCCAGGACUGGUGGAUGAAAGGAAACUCUGCUUAGGCUGGAAUAUGGGCCUAAAUGCUUGUAAUGGUUGGUGCCACUAAAGGCAACCAAGGGCCACGUGAUGGUGCUUAACUAGUCAGUCAGUUAAUUCUGCCGCCCAAGAACAGAGGAACAGUGAAAUUUUUUAUUCAUAUAUAUUUUAAUUUAAAAGAAAAAUGGGCUCCAAUCAACUAAUUAAUAACAGCAGCAAUACUAGCCAAUUAAGAAAUGUUCUUGAAGAGAUCAGCUAAAACAACUAAGGGAAGCAAUUUUACCUCAUUGUCUAUUUUAUUGUCCUGUCUCUUUGUUUUGGCCAUUGUUGUUGUGUGUGUGUGUAAGAGAGAGAUAAAGCCAAAACCUGUUGUACAACUUAUCACUACAACACAAGAAAUGUGUGUAUGAGGGUAUAGGAAUGCUGACAGGUUUAAGAUAUUUGUUUCACAAUCAUGAGAUUUCUGGUUCAAUCUCACUGUGUGGUACCUUCAACAUGUGCCUUCUAUUCUAGACUUGAAUUGAUCAAAGCCUGGUGAAUGACAUUUGUGUAGAUAGAAACUAUGGAAACCUACCAAAUAGACUGUACCUGAUAAUUAAGGGGCCAGCCUUGUCACGCACUGUCAUGUUGAUUCUGUCAGUGUUGGGGUGUUACAUUUAAAGGUCUGGAAUACAGUCAUUUACACUUGUAAGUCAGUGAGCAGGUAGAUCUGUUGAUAGAGCAACUGGCAUACUCUUUGUUGAAGCUGGCAGAAGAUGUGUCUAGGAAUCCAGCAUUAACAACAUUUAAUGGAAAUAGCUUUGCUUUUUCCAUGAUUCUUGCUGCUUUACCUAUAUUUUAGGUAUUCUUUGCAGAAUAAAACAUUUUUUUUUUAGCUCCACUUGCCACGUUAAAAGUGUAUAGUCCUGAUAAAAUAUGUAUUUUAGAGGUUACAUAUUUUUGUUUUUAAAUGAAAGUAAUAGUAUCCUCUUUUUACACACGCAUUUCUCGACUUCGCAUCCUAAACACAUCCACAUUAGGCAAGAUUAUUAGUGAUAAAGAUGGCAGUAAUAUUGUAUCAUUUUUAUUAUACCAUUAAACCAUGUUUGAUAUUAAUGUAGUCCCCAGGGUGAUGAGUUGGAAGAAUCGUUAGUGGGCCAGGCAAAAUGCUUAGUGGUAUUUCAUCCACUUUUACGUUAUGAGGUCAACUUUGCCUUUCAUCCUUUUUGGAGUCUAUAGAAUAAGUACACCAGGGUCAAUGUAAUCUAUUUACCUCCUCCCCUAAAAUUGCUGGCCUUGUGCUAAACUUUGAAACUGAUAUUAAUGUAGUUUCCUGGAUGGCAAGUUGGCAGAAUCGUUAGCAUUCCCAGCAAAAUGUUUAAUAGCAUUUCAUCCAAUUCCACUACAGUGGUUGACUUUACUUUUUAUCCUCUCAGGGUUGAUUAAAAAAAAACAACUACCAGUUGAGCACUGGGGUUGAUGUGAUAUACUUACUUCCUCUCUCAAAAUUGCUGGCUUUGUGCCAAACUUUGAAACCAAUAUCAAUGUAUUUCCUUUAAUUUGUAAUCUCAAGAUUUAAAACUAAUUUUGUUUUCCUUCUAGGAGUGGUGGUUAGUUUCAAUUUUUAUUUAUAAAUUUUUGGUUUUUAAUCAUUCUCAACUGAGCUAUUAGUUUAUUUGUUGCUAACUUACCUCAGUGUACCUGUCUGCCUAAUUGUAAAUUGGGAAGUAUGUUCUAAGCAGUAGGAAUAUUAUGUAGCUGGUGAGUGUUUUCUUAGCUGUCUUCAAGCCAAUAGUAUGAUUUUUUUUUUAAGUUCAUUAUUGCAAGCUAUUAGAUCACCCUGAUAUUCUAUCUUUUUAUGUUCAAACUAACUAGAUUCAAUCUUUCAUACCUACCCGACAAUGUCAUUCUAAAAAUAAACAAUUACAUCAUUGAAAUCUCAAAGCUUCAAGAUAAUGCAUUAUUCAAAGCAAUGUGAAUAAAUAAGCAUUACAUUGGAGAGAGUAAUUUGAAUGCUUUGAAAUGAUCUUCAAUGGUGCCUCCUUCUUCUGUUAGGUUGGUCUGAAAAUAAUGGCUGCUCUAAGUGUUUUGAAAUGCAAUUUUAUCAUAGUAUUUUAAUUAUGUUUUAGGUGAAUUUCGACAUACUUAAUAAUUGAUGUAUGCUCUUUAAUAAUUUUCUACUUAUUUCAGAGAGAAAACAGUCUUGAAGCAUAGGCGCCAUUAAUUAUGAACAUGACAAAAAAGGACCAUUGCUUACUUUUCUUGCAGGAGUUCAAGCUUGGGCACAAUGCUUCCCAAACUGCUGCCAAUAUCAACAAAGCAUGGGGAGAGGGGUCCACAAGUGAUCGCACAGUACAAAGGCAGUUUCAGAAAUUCCGUAAUGGUGAUGAGAGCCUUGACGAUGAAGAAGGUAGAGGACAGUCAUGCAGCCUUGACAAUGAACAAUUGAAAGCAAUUGUUGAACAAAACCCACGUGAGAGAAAUUUGGUGUCAGUAUUACAAUUCUCACACGUAAUCUGUAGACGAUUGGUAAGGUGAAAAAGCUCAGUAAAUGGGUACCGCAUGAGCUCAAUGAAAAUCAAAAAGUUUGGCAUUUUGAAGUGUACUCUAUGCUCUUUCCACGAAAUACUUAUGAUCCUUUUCUUGACCGAAUCGUCACUUGUGAUGAAAAGUGGAUCCUUUAUGAUAACUGUAAAUGAUCAGGUCAAUGGCUUGACUGUGAGGAGUCCCCCAAACAUUUCCCAAAGCCAAAGUUGCAUCAGCAAAAGAUUAUGGUGACUGUCUGGUGGUCUGCAAUUGGUAUUGUCCAUUAAAGCUUUCUGGAAACCAAUCAGAGCAUUUCAGCAGAGGUUUACUGCAAUCAACUUGCUGAAAUGCAUGCUCACUUGCAAAAAUGGAGAUCUGCAUUGGUGAAUCAGUGUGGCCCAAUUCUGCUCCACAGUAAUGCAAAGCCACAUGUUGCAAGAAUGAUGCUACAGAAACUCACAGACUUGGGAUACAAGACUUUACUGCAUCCUCCAUAUUCUCCUGAUCUUUCAGCCACUGACUUUUUUUUUUUUUUUUUUUUUUUUUUAAGCAUUUAAACGUUUUUAGGUGAUAAAGCUUUCAGGUCCAAACCAGAGGUGGAAUCGGCUUUCAAAGAUUUCUUAGCAUCAAAGCCAAUAAGUUUUUAUCAACAACGCAUAAAUAAUCUCGUUGAUUGAUGGCAGAGAUGCAUAGCUGUUCACAGCUCAUACUUUCACUAAUCAAGACAUUUCUAUUGUUAAUUUUUCCAAAAUAAAAUUGUUUCUGAAAUCAGACAUUAUUUUUGGAAUAACCUAAUAAUAGAUGAUUUGAUAGUUGUAUAAAUUGGCAGGCUGAAUUUGUUAAAUUCCAAAUUAUAACUGGUUUCAAGUUAGAAAAUUUAGCUUCACUUUGACACUGCAGCAUGAUCUGGGGUGAGAUGUUUUAGUUAUCUUUAUAAACAUACUUCAUAACUAGAAUUUUAAUAAUUAGAUUUGUUCUGCUUAAUUCAAAGAAAUACAAUGAAAUGAGAAACAUGAACAUUUAAAUGAACUGCUACUGUACAUGAUGAAAGAAAUGGGUAUCCAAAUUUGUCAAAAUAUAACAUGAGUGUUGAGAGUCAAAUCCUUAAAGAGAACCUACUAAAGAUAUUUGUGCACAAAAUUCUGAAAGAUCAUUUACAGUUCUUGCAUGGUUUUGCUGUAUAACUAUUGCUACAUGCCUCUAUAUUAAUCCUAAGGGUCUUCAAAAGAAAAACAAAGAACAACUUUUAUUAAAUACUGCCUGAUUUCAUAUCGAUGGUACGGUGUAUGAACAUAUUCACCAUAAAUAUUUUUAUUUAUCCAGGAUAUGUAAAAAAAAUCUCUUUAAAUUUUAUUACCUCUUCAUUCUUAAAAUAUGCUUAUUAGAUGGCUGUAUGAUUAAGAAUUUCUACUUCAGAGUUACAUAGUUCCAGUUCCACCUCAUUUCACUUUGGAGAAGUUUCCACUACUAUAACCUUGAGUGGAAUUUAGAGGGAAUCUACAAAUGUGGUGUUCUUGCAUGUCCCAUGGUUUAGCAGGUGAAACUCAGAAACCAAUAAAAUGCCAGACUGAAAUUACUUUCAAAGGCAUUACCCCAGCAAGGAUGCAGUUCAUUAUCAUCAUUUAAAGUCCAUGUUCCAUGCUGUUAUAAGUUGGACAGUUUGACAGGAUCCAAUAGGUCCAAAGACUACAUCAUACUCCAGUGUCUACUUUACCAUGGUUUCAGUGGUUGGAUGCGCUUCCUAACACCAACCACUUCAUACUAUGCAUUUGUAGUGGGUUUCUUUUUAUUUUUUGCCACCACCACUAGUGAGGUUGUCAUGCAGCUUGCAGUUACUUAGUACCAACUUAAUCUUAAAUGUCAUACAUUGUUGCUAUUAUCUACAACUGCCAUUUGAUUCUUAUGUUAAUUCAUUCAUUUGGUUAUUGCUAUAUAAGCUAUUUAUCAAUUAUGGAGCCGCUGCAUUGCAGUUUCAAUUUCUGUUUAGAUUUGAAUUAAAGUUUCUAGUUUCACUCUGGAGAUGUAGGACUUCAGGGGUGAGUGAAAUAGAUCUCUUUUAGAGUAACAAGUUUUGUACUUUGAGUUUAGUAUUAUUUACUCUGCUAUGGUAUGAGACCAUUGAAACUAAAGUGAACUGGGAUUGAUCUCAAAAUAAAUGUACAUAUUCCUGGCUCUUGAUAAACAACUCAAACUAUUCAAAAUGUUACUUUUCAUCUUAGCCCUUUAACUGCAGAAUUAAAUUCCAUAGUUAUUCCUGUAAUGAUGUUAAACAUCUACCAAAGGAAAGAAUUGUUAUUUUCUACAAGUCACAUUUCCUUAAUAAACUUGACACAUCUCAGAUAAAAUAGUUUCAAAUAUGACAUUAUUCAACAAAAGAUACAUUGGUAUACAAAACUGCUUUCUGCAGUUAAGGGUAAUGAAAUUUUAAAUAGAGAUAUUUGAUUUCCUUGGUAAAAGGGUUAACAAAAACAGAAAAUGUUCCAUUUACACACCAUAUUAACUUUAAGAUAUUUAUUUUUGUGCUUGUUUUUUCAAGCAGUUACCACUUGAAUUUCAAAUUUUGUACUAGAUCCAUUAGUCAGAUAACUAUUUUUUAAAGAUAAAUCUCCUCCCUUGAGAUCCAUCUUUGUUACAGAUAGGCUUCCAGACUUAUAACAUAAACUUCAGGUUUUUAACUUCUUACACAUGAAACCUGUGUUCUCAAUGAUGUGGCUUAAAGGAAUUCAUAUGCAUAUGUAUCCAACAGGUGUCAAGAAUUUUGGAUAUUGACAAGUGUAUUAGAUAAGUCAUUACCAAUUUGUACUCUGGGCAACCAAGUAUGAUGCUUAUGUGGUUACAUAUCUGCUUUCAAUGAUUUUAAAGUCUUUUAAAUGUUCUUUGAAUGUCUCAAGAAUAGCUUUAGUGGCUUUUGACAGUACUCCUUUUUUCUUUUAAGAUAUAUCGUUAAAAUUAUUUUCAAUACAUUGCUAUUUCUAUCAGGUUGUGGAGGCGCAAUGGCCCAGUGGUUAGAGCAGUAGACUCGUGGUCAUAGGAUCGUGGUUUCGAUUCCCAGACCAGGCGUUGUAAGUGUUUAUUGAGUAAAUACCUAAAGCUCCACGAGGCUCCAGCAGGGGAUGGUGGCGAACCCUGCUGUACUCUUUCACCACAACUUUCUCUCACUCUUACUUCCUGUUUCUGUUGUGCCUGUAUUUCAAAGGGUCAGCUUUGUCACACUCUGUGUCACGCUGAACAUCCCCGAGAACUACGUUAAGGGUACACGUGUCUGUGGAGUGCUCAGCCACUUGUACGUUAAUUUCACGAGCAGGCUGUUCCAGUUGAUUGUAACUUCCUAUUGCUGUAAAAUUUGCUGGAGCAGUGAAUUUUAUUUUAAUUUUUCAUUUAUUUGCAAUGCUGAAUUCAGUGUUUUUUCUGGAGUAUGAUCAGAAAAAGGUUGGUUUUACCAUUUAAAAAUUUUAUUUCAGGAAUGAUUGUAAUUACCAGUAUAGAUGUGAUUUCCUUGCAUAGUCCACUGGCUUGGAGCUUAACUUUUGGUUUCAGUUGUAUAAAGUUGCUGAAAGACUAUCAUCUGAUGCAGAGGUAACACCUGUAGGAGAAGUUGAACUAACUAUUGUCAGUCAAUGAAGAAUUCAUCAGUUUCAACAGAUUUACUGCUGCCCCUAGUAUACUGGUACCCUUUGAAAUCUAAAUUUGUUGGUCCUAACCCAUGCCAGAAUAGAAUGUGAAUGUUAACUGAUGAGUCACUGCACAAUCACAAUACCAGUUAUUAGAUACUCUCUUGACAUUGUCAUUUGUGGUAUCCCGUACUAUAUAACUGGUAUUUAUAUUACCAGCCUGGAGGUAUAAAUAUCUCAGAUUGAUUUUACUGGAAUAUGAACACUUAUUAACCCUUUUGAUACCAGCCCACCCAAGACUGCCUCUGCUUCUACAAUACAAACUUCAUGUUGAUUUAUGUUCCAAACACUAAGUUGAUAAUGACAAAAGUUACUUUACCAAAUUCUUCAUUUUCGAAAUUGAUUGAAACAAGGGUUAAACAAGACUAAAACAAUGCAUAAUACAUUUAGUUUAUCUCUCUUCAAUCAGCCUUUAUCUAUAAAUUGUAGUCUAAUUUGUAAUUUAACUUUGUUACUAUAUUUCUGUUGAAAUAGUCUUUUUUUUUUUCUAUUAAUUUUGAAAAUAAUGAAGAGUAAAAUAGCUUAGUCAUUUUUAAGCUGGUGUUAGGAAUAGAAAUUAGCAUGAAAUUUUGAUUGAAGUUUUUAAUUUAAAUCAUUUUAAUACAGGGUGUUUGUAUCAUAGAACCAAGUUGCUUGGUAUCAAAAAGUUAAGGGAGAUAAAUUUCUCUAGAUAAUACAUGAGCAUUUGUAUGGUGUACUAAAUGAACCUCCAACUUGCCUUAAGCUAUUCUCUGUAUCUGAAUGAUUUCUCUUAUGAAUAGACAGUAUUAAAAUGUCAAUGUUGUGCAGAUUUUGUUCCCACCCUCUACCUUCUGAGUUCAAAUCCUUUGGUAGUCAACUUUGUCCUUCAUCCUUCCAGGAGUUGAAUAAAAACAAAACCCAUCAAUACAAGAUGGUGAAUUAACAGAACCAUAAAAACAUUGGUCUGGAUACUUUGUGAUAUUUGUUUUAACUCUUUGCAUUUUGAGUUUAAAUUUUUCUAGGUGGUGGAUUUAACCUAUUGCCUUGUAAUGGGCAAUAGACAAUGCCUUUCCUCCUGACUAAAAAAUAAAAUAUAAGUCCAUAAAACCGUACUUCUCCCUCUAGUUUGAUUCCCAGACUAUGUACUACCUUAAUAAUUUCUGUUCCAUAUAAUUUUGAUUGAUCUACUCUCCAAUCCCAUAUUAACUACCAUGGAACUGCAUCCAGGUAAUGUAUUGUAGGGUAAAGUAUCUGAAGACUAUUGGAGAAUAAGAUUGAUUAAAAGAAAUACAACAUAUCUUUUUAACUAAAGUAAUAUCUGACCUGAAAAAUAUACAUGUAUUUAUAGUCUUUGUCGAUAACCAUUAGUUUGUAAUGAACAGUUUUAUUGUAAAAAUGUAUGCUUUUGUUACAGUUUCUGCUUGCGAAUUCACCUUACCAUGCUGGCUUGACAUCAACAAAAUUACGCCACUUCUUGUCCAAUGUUUUGAAUCUGGGUUUGUCCCCAUUAAGGUGGGGGUGGAUCUACCUCAUUCCUACAGCAACCGCUCUCACACCAUCUCGCUUGGUUUUGGGUGUCCUUCCUCCUCAAGCCAACCCUCCCAGUCUCCUCCACGUUUUCUUUGGUAGCCCUUGCUUUUGCAGUUCAUUCACUCUAAAGUCAAGCACCUUCCUCAGCAUGAUCCGCAACACAUGUCCAUACCACUGCACUCUAUUCGCCCUUGCCAGCUGUUCCACCGAUUCCUGCAUCCCCAUCAAGUCCUCAACCCUCCUUUUAUCGAAUAGUUUCAUGCCACACACUGCUCUCACCAAUGCUUUCUCAGUCCUUCUCAAAAUUGCUAUUUCACUUUCCCUCAGACACUGUCUCUCUCCCAUACAACAUUGCAGAUCUCACACAACUCCGAUAAACCCUUUCAUCUUCAAGGAGAACUUUUUUCCGGAUAAUAAUGCUCUACAUUCUAAAACACACUGCAACUGGGACAUCUCCUUUGCACAGUCUUAGUGACAAAAGAAAGGAGUGGCUGUAUGGUGAAUAGCUUGCUUACCAAUCAUAUAGUUCCAGGUUCAGUUCAACUGCAUUGCACCUUGGUUAUACUACACAGCAGUGAAACAUGGACUGUGACUGUUGAGGACAUGCGUAGGCUUGCAAGAAAUGAAGCUAGUAUGCUCCACUGGAUGUGUAAUGUCAGUGUGCAUACACAACAGAGUGUAAGCGCCCUGAGAGAAAAGUUGGACAUAAGAAACAUCAGAUGUGGUGUGCAACGGAGAUGACUGCACUGGUAUGGUCAUGUGUUACGGAUGGAUGAGGACAGCUGUGUGAAGAAGUGACACAUCCUAACAGUGGAAGGAACCUGUGGAAGAGGUAGACUCAAAUAAACCUGGGAUGAGGUGGUGAAGCACGACCUUCAAACAGUGGGCCUUGCAGAGGCAAUGUCAAGCACGCACACAUACAUAUAUAUAUAUUCACAUUUCCAGUCAUUAGACUGGAUGUGAAAUUUCAAAUCGCCAGAUGUAAGGUGCCAGCCUUACACACACAUACACUUCAUGGUCUUCACAUGCCCUCCUAGACUAGUGAGAUUGACGCCAUUAAUGUUUAGUAUUUGAACUGGCCAUAUUGUGUUUCCCACACCUACUCUGCAAUCAUCAUCAUCAUUUAAUGCCUGUUGUCCAUGCUGGCAUGGACCAUAAUUGAGAGAGAGAGAAUUCUUAUGUUCAAUUUUUCUCUCAACACAUUUGAUCUUUGUUGUACAUAGCUUCAUUUCAUUCCUUUCUAGUCUUCACAUGUCCUCUGCAUUCAAUUACAACAUCUCACUACCAUCUAGCAUAGGUAUUCAUAUACAAACAUCAUAAAGUCUGCCUUUCACUUCAAGACUUUUGUGACCAGCAGAUGUAAUAGCUUUCUGAACUUCCUCCAUCCUGUUCAUAUUCUAACAACUAUAUUUUCAGAACAUCCUCCUCUACUGCUAAUUAGUUCACCUAGGUAACAGAAAUUAUAUACUAACUCUAAGGAAACUCCUGGGCAUUUGAAAAAAUUCAUAUCCCAUAUUUUCUUAGUUUUUAUUGCUCUUGCACAUGUCACAUAUAAGGUUCACUUUCUCUGUUAACCUCCCUAUGAUUCCACAGCACCUUUUAUGUGUCCAUAGCUUGCACUGAGUAUACCAUAUGAAAUUUCCACCUACAGUUUCCUACAUAUAUAGCAGGGCCAUUUUCCUCAAUGUAAUAGGUUCCAGUUUGUUUCUCCUGCAAACUAGUAAUAAGUUAACUUUAAGGUUCUGGUUUUGUAUCGACACCCGGAAUUUCUUUUCUAGUUCUACUACAGAUUCAGCUACAAAACAAGCCCAGCAGCAUAUAGUAGUUCCCAAAAGUAACCUGUAUUAAAUACCUCUGUUAUGGCUAGGAGGACUAUGAUGAAUUGGAGGGGACUGAGAACCAAGCCCUAGUGAACACUUACCUGUACACUAAAUUAAUUGCUGUACUCUCUCUCACCUUACUGACAGCACCUCUGUACAUUGCUUGUAUAGCUCUCAUAAGCCAUUCAUUUACCUUAGAGACCACCAGAAUGAGGGGCCCUGUUAAGGGCUUUCUCUAGGUUAGUGAAUACCAAGAGCAAUGGCUUACUUUUAGCUAAAUACUUCCAGAAAGAGAUCAUCAGUCGUACCUCUCCUUGGUACAAGACCAAACUGCAUCUCAUCUAACUUAAUUCGCUUCCUAAAUAAUUGGGCUAUAACUUUCCAUAUCUUUCAUGAUCUGAUACCUGCAAUUACCUCAAAGGCAUCUUCUUUGCCUUUGUUAGAAUUGAUUAUAAUGUCACUGUGCUAGUUGUUAGUUAUAACUAUACAUAUAAAUAAAUGUUGCAUAGAACAGGAGAAAUAGAAAUCAAUACAUGAGUGGAUAUUAAUUUUUAAUUGCUAGAAAGUUACAAAAGUGAUUCAAGAGUUUUGUGCCAUGCACAAAUCUCUCCUGUUUGAUCUAAACCUACUCUACGCUCCUUAAUUGAUGAGCUCUAUCUGCAAACAGGGAGCCAGCAUGAGACAAUAUCCAUUCACAUAUAUACACACAUAUAUAUAAAUGAGAACAAAUGAAAGUAAAAGGCACUCAGCAUAUUUAGCAGGAGUUACUUGUAUUAUUAUUUAAAACAGUUUGAAUCAGCUUCAUGCAAGUUAAAGUUUUAUGAGCUUCUAAAAGAAAACCCAAGCAUUGUAGUUUGAUUGAAGUAUUGUGAUAAAAAAGUAAAACAACAAAUAAUGAAGAUACACAGCUCUAGCAAUGCAAAAAAGAGAACAUUAAGAAUUCUUUAUAUAUUUCAGGCACAAAGGCCCAUCAUCAGAAGUGAAUGGCCCUGGAAUGUGAGUUAUAUAGAUUCUGCCAGUUUGAUUACUGAACAGGCACCACUGACUCCACUUUGUCUGGCGGUAUAUACAGGGUGUCCACAAAGUCU